UCCCUGGUGGUCCAGUGGUUAAGAAUCUGCCUGCCAAUGCAAGGGGCCCAGGUUCAACCCCUGGCCUGGGAG
rnacentral:tRNA from 1 species